rnacentral:rRNA from 1 species
AUUGAACGCUGGCGGCAUGCCUUACACAUGCAAGUCGAGCGGCAGCGCGGGGGCAACCCUGGCGGCGAGCGGCGAACGGGUGAGUAAUACAUCGGAACGUGUCCAGUAGCGGGGGAUAACCUGUCGAAAGAUAGGCUAAUACCGCAUACGACCUACGGGUGAAAGCGGGGACCGCAAGGCCUCGCACUAUUGGAGCGGCCGAUGUCGGAUUAGCUAGUUGGCGGGGUAACGGCCCACCAAGGCGACGAUCCGUAGCUGGUCUGAGAGGACGACCAGCCACACUGGAACUGAGACACGGUCCAGACUCCUACGGGAGGCAGCAGUGGGGAAUUUUGGACAAUGGGCGCAAGCCUGAUCCAGCCAUGCCGCGUGAGUGAAG